rnacentral:rRNA from 1 species
UACGUAGGGGGCUAGCGUUGUCCGGAAUCAUUGGGCGUAAAGCGCGCGUAGGCGGCCUUGUAAGUCCGUUGUGAAAGUCAAAGGCUCAACCUUUGAAAGCCGAUGGAUACUGCAAGGCUAGAGUCCGGAAGAGGCGAGUGGAAUUCCUGGUGUAGCGGUGGAAUGCGCAGAUAUCAGGAGGAACACCAAUAGCGAAGGCAGCUCGCUGGGACGGUACUGACGCUGAGACGCGAAAGCGUGGGGAGCGAACAGG